CAGUAGCCGCGGUAAUACGAGGGGGGCAAGCGUUGUUCGGAAUUAUUGGGCGUAAAGGGUGCGUAGGCGGUUCAGCAAGUCUCGUGUGAAAUCUUCGGGCUCAACCCGAAGUCUGCACGGGAAACUACUGGGCUUGAGUAAUGGAGAGGUGAGUGGAAUUUCCGGUGUAGCGGUGAAAUGCGUAGAUAUCGGAAGGAACACCUGUGGCGAAAGCGGCUCACUGGACAUUUACUGACGCUGAUGCACGAAAGCUAGGGGAACAAACAGGAUUAGAUACCCCAGUAGUCCCUGUCUCUUAUAA
rnacentral:rRNA from 1 species